AACGAACGCUGGCGGCAUGCCUAACACAUGCAAGUCGAACGAGACCUUCGGGUUUAGUGGCGCACGGGUGCGUAACGUGUGGGAACCUGCCCUUAGGUUCCGACUAACUCCCCGAAAGGGGUGCUAAUACCGGAUAAUGUCCUCGGACCUAAGAUUUAUCGCCUUUGGAUGGGCCUGCGUUGGAUUAGCUAGUUGGUAGGGUAAAAGCCUACCAAGGCGACGAUCCAUAGCUGGUCUGAGAGGAUGAUCAGCCACACUGGGACUGAGACACGGCCCAGACUCCUACGGGAGGCAGCAGUGGGGAAUAUUGGACAAUGGGCGAAAGCCUGAUCCAGCAAUGCCGCGUGAGUGAUGAAGGCCUUAGGGUUGUAAAGCUCUUUUACCCGGGAUGAUAAUGACAGUACCGGGAGAAUAAGCUCCGGCUAACUCCG
rnacentral:rRNA from 1 species